rnacentral:ncRNA from 1 species
UUAUGGUUUAGUUCUGGCCAGAGAAGGGUUUGACACUAUAAUUCACAUAAGUUUGUUUUAUUUAUUUCUUAUUUAGGUUGUUUUAUAUUUUUAGUGGUGAAAUUUUGUUUUAUACGGUAACGUAGUUCAAGGUAGUGUUUUUUAAGGCGGAUAAUUCACAGUGCCAGCAUCCGCGGUUAUUCUGUUUGCCUUACUCUUUUUGUUUUGGUUUAAAUAAUUUUAGCUUUAUGAUUGUGCUGCUGCAAUAAGUAUUUUCAAUUUUGAUAUUUAAGUUAAAUUAUUUUGAAGUGCUAGUGUGAGGACGGAGAUUAGAGACCUCCUUACUUAGUUUGGAAUUUUUUCCAUGGUUUUAACUAAAAGGAUUUGGCAGCUAACAAUUUCAUCCGGGGGAGUGUGCUUUUUAAAAAGAUGGUACACUUAUGAAUUUACCAGGUUUAGUUUAGUUAGUGUAUAUCCGAUUUAAUAUCUGUGAUUAGUUUUUUAAUAGAUGUACAUCAUUAAAUUUAAGUCAGGUCUAUGUGCUGCUAAUAGCUUGGGUAAUUGUGCAUUACAUUUUAAAGUUUGACUUUGUGAUAUAGUUGAUUGAUUUAGGACUCGGUAGUAGGAUUCCUUUAGUUUGGGACUUCGAAUGUGAUUUAGUUGGGGUACACAUCGCCCGUCAGUUUCAACGGUAGUUGGGAUAAGUCGUAACAUGGUAACGGUUGGGGAACCAGUCGUUAGUUGGUU